rnacentral:ncRNA from 3 species
UACGUAGGUGGCAAGCGUUGUCCGGAUUUACUGGGCGUAAAGGGCGUGCAGGCGGUUUGUUAAGUCUAGGGUGAAAGCUCCCGGCUCAACUGGGAGAGGUCCUUGGAUACUGGCAGACUUGAGGAGGGUAGAGGAGAGUGGAAUUCCCGGUGUAGUGGUGAUAUGCGUAGAUAUCGGGAGGAACACCAGUGGCGAAGGCGGCUCUCUGGGCCCUACCUGACGCUGAGACGCGAAAGCGUGGGGAGCGAACCGG